GUCCAAAAGUACCCAAUCUGAAACCAAUGCUCUCUUGGUCAGCACCGCAGACCUCAAGCCAAUGCCCUGGAGGUCCGCACCGCAACACCUCCCGACAGUACCACUGCCGCUCUAACAUGCAUAUAACCCCUCUAGGGCUCACGGGUUGUCACCAUUCAACCACUUUUCCGGAAAAGAACACUCCUUGCGGUGGAUCAGACCGCCAGUGUUCGUGAAAUGCGACGAGUAUCGGGCGAUCAAUGCAAUAUGGUCAAAGAACAACCGUCGGCAACCAGCCGACAAUCCUGCCCCCCAGGGCCUAUCGAUCGCAUAGGUCAUCAACUGUAAAGAAGCACAAGAACCGACCACUCAGGUCAACUAGGAUGGGACAACAUCGACAUCCUCUCAAACAUAUGCAAAUACUGCUCAAUGAACCACAAGGACUGACCACUCAGAUCAACUAGGAUAUGAAGCUCGACCAAUCACGUCACAAGUACAGGAUAUGAAACUCGACCAAUCCUGUCACAAGUAUAGGAUAUGAAACUCGACCAAUCAUGUCACAAGUAUAGGAUAUGAAACUCAACCAAUCAUGUCACAAGUAUAGGAUAUGAAACUCGACCAAUCAUGUCACAAGUAUAGGAUAUGAGUAAAGUAUAAUCAUCCGUCGGCAACUAACCGACAAUCCCACCCCUUAGGGUAUACCGACCUCAACGGUCAUCAGACAACAAAGGUCGAGGAACUCACCGAAUAGGUCACAAAUACUGAAUACUAGAAUUGACCGACUAGAUCGCUAAUCUCACAGAUAAUCACAGAAUCGCUCUACUAUAAAUAUGAAAUAGGGUAUGCAGAAUAGCUAAGUAGGGCAACAAGGAAAUUUGGUAUCACAUACAGAUAGACUAUACUCCUACACAUGAUACUAAGCAUGGAAACAUCUGAGUAGAGUAUAAUCAAACAACGUGGGUGUAAUGUAAACAAUAGAGGUGCAAAGCUCAACAUAUAAUAUAAGCAUGAAUAAUAACAAAAGAGCAAGGGUAAGAAACCAUCACCGAGCGUGCACCACUGUACCCACGUCGGAUCGAAGUACCCACCUGUACAACUGUCGCGCCUGUCUCCUGACUGCAAAAGAACGUCAACAGGACCUAAGGAGGGUCCACUGGGUUAGUGUCUAACCCACGACUAAGAACCCUUAAAAGCAUAACCCCACAAAUAAACCACUGAAUACACAACCCACAAACAAUCCCACGGAGAUCGGUUUCCCAAAACCGAUUAUCGAACAAACCGGAAAUCCCGAAAAUCGCACCGAGACUCUGCCGGGACCCACGGACUGUCCCGGAACUCACCGACUCGCACCACGAGUCACCCGCUGCCCCAAAGCACUCCAAUUUGGAUGCCUUGGCAGUGAACACGAGGUAACACAACCAUACGAUCAUCGCCGGAUAAUCGUACGAAUCCGGGUUUCCGGAAGUGUCUAUUUCGACACCGGAACCCACCGUCGCUCACCCAUCAUCAUCAAACCCACAAAAUGAUGAUGGUGACCAGCCAACAAGGCUCAGCGACAAAACACGAAGCAACCAAACACCGUCGGAAAGAAUCCGAACCGAAACCGCGUUCUUUCGGUGAAUUUCGCCGAAAAACGCACCGAAAUCGACCUACCGAUUUCCGCGAAAGUUAACGGACCAUGGACAAUCAGUCCAGCGGUCAUUACAAACUCCCAC
rnacentral:lncRNA from 1 species